rnacentral:lncRNA from 1 species
CUCGCUCUCAUUUUGGUAACAAUGGAAGUGUUUAAAGAAACAAAUCCCUGCUUAAUUUGUCGACCUCCUAUUGGGCUGCACCUCCUAGAGGCCAUUAGGCCUCAUCCCAGUUACUUCGGUAACAAACAGAAAGAGGCCCAACCGAUGCCGAAAUCCAAAGAAAAAUAGACACUCGACACAGAAUAAGAACCAUGGCCUGGACCUACUACCUUCUCCAGACUUCCUGAGACCAACAUUACAGAUCACCGUUUGACCCUAUUCUGCCAUGACAUCGUUUCUUCAUCAAAGGACACCUGUGCUUUUGUGAUAUGUUUAUGUUCUAGUCUGGUUCUCAAAUUUUCAGGACCACAAGAUGCAUUUUAUCUGUUUACUCUGUAUGAUCCAAUGGUUGUAAAUUGAUUUGCACUAA